UUAAAAAAAAAAUUAUUUUUCCUCGGCAAAAGAUCACAUAGGUCUUUCUUUCAAGAUGAAGAUUAGUAGAUCAAGGCAAGAGGAGACGUUGAACGAGCUUAGUAGGAAUGCAUGCUUACGACUUUAGCUUGGUGGGCAGUUUCCAUGCCAGCCUUGCAAUCACAAUUUUCUUUACAAUCACAAUUUUCUUGGAGAGAAGAAGAUGGAAUUGAAUUUACAGAGAUCACCUGUGGACUAUCAAGUUCCUGUGGACUAUCAAGUUCAUGGAUUUGAGGGUUCUCAAAUUGGCUAUAAUGGGAACCCUCAUAAUUGGGCUUCAACCUCUGGCCAUGGCGCCAUACCCUUGUUCAAUGAGCACCCAUUUCCUCAGCAACCAAAUUGAUUUCGAGACGAAGUGGUGUUUUCAGUGUUUUCAUCUCUAGUUUAGAAUGGACGUUCUGUGCUUCAUGAUUAAGAUGGAUACGCCUCUUUUACCUUCACAGUAUUUAAGUAGGAGUGGUUCUACAAAAGUCAACCUCCUAUUUCAUUCAGAGGGAGGAGUGCAUCAGCUGCAUGAGGCUUUGAUGCAUCUUCACAUUAGUCGUCAUCAAAACUUGUGUAAAUUAUGGAGGUUCGGGGUAUACAGAUCUAUACACAUGUGUAAACUUGUGUAAAUUAUGAGGGGGUUGAAGAUGCCUCCUGGGUAGCCAACCUCGUUGGGGGGAAAUAAUAUGAACUCUAUCACAAACAGUGUGGAAGAAGAGGCGAAGUACUCCGAUUUUCCUGCAUCAUACCACCCGGGCACAUUGAUGAUACCGAUCUUAGUGAACACAUCAGGUAAUAGCAUUCCAACUACUCCAAGCAUGGCCCAUCAACCAUUCACCAACUUGGCUUGGACAACCCACUGAGGUUCUCGGGGUCCUCAACAAGACCAAGUGGGUCAAAUCCGAUCUUAGUGAACACCUCGGAAAAGUGAUGUCAAAUAGGGGAGUGUAAUAUCUUCAGUUCAGUUUCAGUUCUUCUUGCUACCAGUUUAUGAAACUUGAAGAAGCCAAAAGAAAUAAAAUUGUUGGUGGUUCAGUCAGCUC